rnacentral:rRNA from 1 species
AUGCACGCUGGCGGCGUGCCUCAUACCUGCCAGUCGAGCGAACGGACGAGAAGCUUGCUUCUCUGAUGUUAGCGGCGGACGGGUGAGUAACACGUGGAUAACCUACCUAUAAGACUGGGAUAACUUCGGGAAACCGGAGCUAAUACCGGAUAAUAUUUUGAACCGCAUGGUUCAAAAGUGAAAGACGGUCUUGCUGUCACUUAUAGAUGGAUCCGCGCUGCAUUAGCUAGUUGGUAAGGUAACGGCUUACCAAGGCAACGAUGCAUAGCCGACCUGAGAGGGUGAUCGGCCAAACUGGAACUGGGACACGGUCCAGACUCCUACGGGAGGCAGCAGUAGGGAAUCUUCCGCAAUGGGCGAAAGCCUGACGGAGCAACGCCGCGUGAGUGAUGAAGGUCUUCGGAUCGUAAAACUCUGUUAUUAGGGAAGAACAUAUGUGUAAGUAACUGUGCACAUCUUGACGGUACCUAAUCAGAAAGCCACGGCUAACUACGUG